rnacentral:rRNA from 1 species
ACCCGUUGAUCCUGCGGGAGGUUGCUGCUAUUUGGGUGCCACUUAGCCAUGCAAGUCAAGGGGGCGCAAGCCACCGGCGAAAUGCUCAGUAACACGUUGAUAAUCUACCCUUAGGUCUUGGAUACCCUCGGGAAACUGGGGUUAAACCAGGAUAGAUGAUCGGUACUGGAAUGUCCUUUCAUUUAAAUCUCCGGAGCCUAAGGAUGAGUCAGCGGCUGAUUAGGCUGUUGGUGAGGUAAUGGCUCACCAAACCAAUGAUCAGUAUGGGUCUUGAGAGAGAUGGCCCAGAGAAGGGCACUGAGAAAGGGGCCCUAGCCCUACGGGGUGCAGCAGGCGGGAAACCUUUACAAUGCACGAAAGUGCGAUAAGGGUACCCUAAGUGCUUACACUUUGUGUAAGCUUUUGUUAAGAGUAAAAAUCUUAACGAAUAAGUGAUGGGAAAGACUGGUGCCAGCCGCCGCGGUAACACCAGCGUCACGAGUGGCAACCGCAUUUAUUGGGUCUAAAGCGUCCGUAGCUUGUUUAGCUAGUUCUUUGUGAAAUCAUUAGAGUCAACUUAAUGGCGUGCAAAGAAUACUAGUUAGACUAGGGACUGGGAGAAGUCAGGGGUAUUCCGGGGGAAGCGGUAAAAUGUUAUAAUCCCUGGAGGACCACCAAUGGCGAAGGCAUCUGACUAGAACAGGUCCGACAGUGAGGGACGAAAGCUAGGGGAUCAAACCGGAUUAGAUACCCGAGUAGUCCUAGCUGUAAACGCUGCAGGUUAGGCGUUGCAUAAUCUACAUGAUUAUGCAGUGUCGUAGCGAAGGCGUUAAACCUGCCACCUGGGAAGUACGGCCGCAAGACUGAAACUUAAAGGAAUUGGCGGGGGAGCACCACAAGGGGUGCUACGUGCGGUUCAAUUUGAUUCCACACGGGAAAUCUCACUAGAAGCGACGGCAAGAUGAAAGUCAGGCUGAAGACCUUACUUGAUGAGCCGAGAGGAAUUGCAUGGCCGUCACCAGCUCGUGCCGUAAGGUGUCCUGUUAAGUCAGGCAACGAGCGAGACCUGCAUCUACAAUUGCUAACGAUUCCUCCGGGAAGAUCGAGCACAUUGUAGGGACUGCCCUGGAAACAGGGAGGAAGGCGCAGGCUAUGAUAGGUCAGUAUGGUCCUAAUCUUCUAGGCUACACGCGCGUUGCAAUGAUAGAGACAACGGGAUACAACUCCGAAAGGAGAAGUUAAGCCUCCAAACUCUAUCUUAGUUUAGAUCGAGCCUUGUAACUCAGGCUCGUGACACCGGAAUCCCUAGUAAUCGGGCGUCAACAACGUCCGGUGAAUAUGUCCCUGCUCCUUGCACACACCGCCCGUCAAGCCACUCGAGCAUGGUUUAAAUGAGGAUUAACUUAUUGGUUAGUUCGAAUUUGGGCCAAGUGAGAUGGGCUAAGUCGUCACAAGGUA